GAUGAACGCUAGCGGCAGGCUUAAUACAUGCAAGUCGAGGGGCAGCAUAGUGUAGCAAUACAUGGGUGGCGACCGACGAACGGGUGCGGAACACGUACAGAACCUUCCUUCGAGCGGGGAAUAGCCCAGAGAAAUUUGGACUAAUACCCCAUAGUAUAUUGUGGUGGCAUCACUAUAAUAUUAAAGCUUUAGCACUUGAAGAUGGCUGUGCGUCUGAUUAGGUAGUUGGCAGGGUAAUGGCCUACCAAGCCAGCGAUGAGUAGCGGGUGUGAGAGCGCGACCGGCCACACUGGUACUGAGACACGGGCCCGACUCCGACGGGAGGCAGCAGUAAGGAAUAUUGGUCAAUGGGCGCAAGUCUGAACCAGCCAUGCCGCGUGAAGGAUGAAGGUCCUCUGGCUUGUAAACUUCUUUUAUCUGGGACGAAAAAUGGCCUUUCUACGUCAACUGACGGUACCAGGUGAAUAAGCACCGGCUAACUCCGUGCCAGCCGCCGCAGUAAUAC
rnacentral:rRNA from 1 species